UAGAAGCUUAUCAACAAAACCUGAGGAAUGCUAAAAGCAAAACUACAGUGCAGAUAUCAAAAAAAUCAAAAGGAGGAAAGGGCCGGGGGAAGAAACAGGGUGGAAAGAAGGAAGUCAUAGAUUUGAGAACUCUCAUGAUAAAUUGUGCGCAAGCUGUUGCUGCUGACGAUUCCAGGAUUGCGAAUGAACUUUUGAAACAAAUCAGACAACAUUCAUCCCCAUUUGGAGAUGGAAACCAGAGAUUAGCUCAUUGCUUUGCAGAUGGCCUCGAGGCGCGUUUGGCUGGAACUGGUA
rnacentral:misc_RNA from 1 species